UUAAGAACGAUGGCAGCAGUUGGCAUUUAUUGCUACAAAUUUCACUCUUAGAACUGCUUUUGCUGCUUUCCAUAUGUUUUGGGAUGGGAUCUUACUCAGUAACCAAGGCUGAGGUGCAGUGGCAUGAUCAUAACUCACUGUAACCUGAACUCCUGUCCUCAAGUGAUCCUCCUGCCUCAACCUCCUGAGUAGCUCAGACUACAGGUGUGCUCCACCAAGCCCAGAUAAUGUUUUUAAAAACUUUUGUGGAGAUAGCAUUUCACAAUGAUGCCUAGGACACUCUCAAACUUCUGGCCUUGAGUAAUCCUCCUAUCUUAGCCUUCCAAUGGACUGGAAUUAAAGGUGUAAACCACUGCUCCUAGCCUCAAUUUAAGAUUUCUUGAUUCCUAGGUUUUCAAUAAAAUUUAAAGUUACUGAGAGUUAAAAUUUUUAAUUCUCAGUGUAAAAAAUGUGCAAAUAUUAUCAAAAAGGCAUAAAGUGUGCUUGAAUAAUUUUGUGUAAUUCAGUUUUUUUAAAAGAUUCUUUCAAAAUAUAGAUUUAGGAAUAAAAUAUAAAACAAAAUAGAAAAUAGGAAGUAGAAGAGAGAGAUAUAAAAAAGGUAUAGAUAUGAAGAUAUAUUUCUGGUAAGAAAGUUUAAAAAAUAUAAAUAACUUUAUAUGAGAAGGAAUCUUGUAUGGUAAAUUUUUGUCAUAAAGUAAAAUGACUGGUUAUUUCAGGAACAGAAAGUAUAGGAUAAAGUCGAAAUUCAAGCAUGUUGCAAAUAGUUUGUGUAACUUCUGUGUAAUAAGUUUUGUGAAAAGGAAAGUUAUAAAAAUUUUUUGUGUAUAGUUAAGUUUGCUAUAAUUAAAAGAAAAUUAUUUCUAAAGAUUGAACUUUGACAUUAAAAUACACUAACAUAAAACUGGAAAUUUUCAUUUGCUAUAUUAAAACAACAAGGUUUUUAAACUCUUGAUCUGCUCUUGUUAACAUUGCAAGAAGUUUUGAUAUUUAAUUCUGUAAUCCAUUUUUUUAAAACUUCUCAGAUUUGUAUAUCAGAAGUUAGACUUUUGCUGUACCUUAUUGCAUGGGAUUUGUAAGUCAUACGUGAUUACCUCCUGAUAGAGUUUGGAUGAUUGUCCCUACAAAUCUCAUAUUGGAAUGUAAUUCCCAGUGUUAGAGGUGGGACCUGGUGGGAAGUGUUUGGGUCAUGAAUGUGUUGGUGCUCUUCCUGUGGUGAUGAGUUACUGUGAGAUCUGGUUGUUAAAAAGAGUCUGGGAUCUCUCCCUUCUCUCUUACUCCCUCUGUCACUAUAUGACAUGGUGGCUCCCCCUUUUCCUUCUGCCAUAUUUGUAAGCUUCCUGAGGCCUCCCUAGAAGCAGAUGCUGGUGCAAUGCUUCUCAUACAGCCUGCAGAAACCCUGGGCCGAAUAAACCUCUUUUCUUUAUAAAUUGCCCAGUCUCAGGUAUUCCUUUACAGCAAUGCAAAGUGGACUAAUACACCUUCUGUUCUUUCUUCUCUUGAAUAGGUAUAUCUUUUUGCUUGGCUGGGAUGAUAACUCUGUCCUUCAACCUUUUCAUUGACUUAUAACUUCUUUCCUCAUUUCAGACAUGGCUGUUGUGGCCUGAUGCUGCAGUGUUUAUCUUGAAGUCUAAAGAAGCAAUGUGUUCCUCCAGUGUAACUUGAUUCUGUACUCCAGGCAUUUCUUGAUGUAUCUGAAUUGUUCAAUGUAAUCAGAAAACUUCUCAUGUUUUUACUAAGAGCCAUGUAUUCCCCUGCUCAAGGGUUGACUUCCUGGUUAUCUACAUAGACUUUGCAUAAGGAGAAGAAAUCACACAACAGUAGGUUUUUAUUUAUUUAUUUGAUAGGUGGCUGAAAAAAACACAGAUUUUACAUUUUACCAAGAUAAUUUCUUUUUCUUUUUCUUUUUUUGGAAACAGAGUCACCCAUGCUGGAGUACAGUGGUGUUAUCUCAGCUCAUUGCAACCUCUGCCUCCUGGGGCUUCAACAAUCCUCCCACCUCAGCCUCCUGAAUAGCUGGGACACCUGGCUAAUUUUUGUAUUUUUUUGUAGAGCUGGGGCUUUGCCAUGUUGCCUAGGCUGGUUUUGAACUCUGGGCUCAAGUGAUCCACCCCCUUCAGUUUCCCAAAGUGCUGGGAUUAUCGGCUUGAGCCACCACACCUGGCCUUCACAUUGUCUUUAUUACAUUUUUGACUUCUUAGAAAACUGAGUUUUAAAAUGUUCACUUUUUUUUUCUUUUUUUUCCCAUCAAUAUGACUUUCUAUACUGCUUUUGAGGUCUUUUGAUUAUCACCUUGGUUAAAUGAAUAACUUUUAUUUUGCAAUAACCUUUGAUUCUGGUUAGACCAAGUGUUUUAAACUUUUGACAUCUGUGAUAAGUUCCCUUACGGUUCAAAUCCUAAAUUAAGUCUUUUUGAACUAAAUAAUUAUACUUUUUUUGUAAAUUGUAUCAGAGGCAUUGUCAAAUGACAAAUGAUAAUAGAUCUUCUUUCAGUUAGAUUUAUGUGUAUGUUAUUGAUACAAAUAUUCCAAAAAUUACAUAAGGCUGGGGACAGUAGCUCAUACUUAUAAUACCAGUGCUUUGGGAGGCCAAAGUGGGAGAAUCACUCGAGGCCAGAAGUUUGAGACCAGCCUGAGCAACAUGUUUUCUGUCUCUACAGAAAACAAAGUAGCUAAGCAUGGUGGCAUGUGCCUGUAGUCCUAGGUACUUGGGAGGCUGAGGCAAGAGGAUCCCUUAAGCCCAGGAGUUUGAGUUUACAGUAAGCUAUCAUCAUGCCACUGCAGUCCAGCCUGGUUGACACAGCAAGACUUUAAUAUAUAUACAUUCUCUCUCUCUCUCUCUCUCUAUAUAUAUAUAUAUCUAUGUGUGUGUAUAUAUAUAUAUAUAGUGUGUGUAUAUAUAUAUAGUGUGUAUAUAUAUAGUGUGUAUAUAUAGUGUGUAUAU
rnacentral:lncRNA from 1 species